rnacentral:lncRNA from 1 species
UAUCUUUCGGAUUACAAGAAGAGGCUUCUCAUCCUGGAAGAGGCGAUCAGACUUUCUGAAAUCUGUCCUUUCCUCCCUCUUUGGCUCAGCACAAGCACACACACACACAAACAAAACAACAACAAAAAAGAAGCCCCCCUUUUGGCCUUCAGAGAAGAAAUGUUCACAAACCCAUGAUUAUUCUGCCUGGUGAAUUUUAAUUCUUCGCAACUUGGAAUUUAAAUUCUAAAGAUGAGGAUACUGAUGCAUAAUAUUGAACUAUGCCUUCAAGAAGAUUGGUCAUCAAGAGUGUGGUGUUCCAGUGCCUUGAGGGUGACUGGUCAAGUGCAUUUAAAAGAUGUGGUUAUUUCUCACUUUUUGCUGUCUCCUCUGCCCAUCAGCUUGCCUUGGUUACUGCUUAUAGGUCCUAGCUGGAGAAUAAUGUGCUUCACAGUGUGA